UCGAGAAUCUUUCACAAUGGGGGCAACCCUGAUGGAGCGACGCCGCGUGGAGGAUAAGGUCUUCGGAUUGUAAACUCCUGUCAUGCGAGAACAAGGUACCCAGGUUAAUAACCUGGUUGUUUGAUGGUACCGCAAGAGGAAGAGACGGCUAACUCUGUGCCAGCAGCCGCGGUAAUACAGAGGUCUCAAGCGUUGUUCGGAAUCACUGGGCGUAAAGGGUGCGUAGGCUGCGCCGUAAGUCAGAUGUGAAAGCUCAGGGCUCAACCCUGAAAUUGCAUCCGAUACUGCGGUGCUCGAGAAAUGAAGAGGAGUCUAGAAUUUUCGGUGUAGCAGUGAAAUGCGUAGAUAUCGAAAGGAAUACCAAGGGCGAAGGCAGGACUCUGGGCAUUUUCUGACGCUGAUGCACGAAGGCCAGGGUAGCGAACGGG
rnacentral:rRNA from 1 species